rnacentral:rRNA from 1 species
UUGCGCCUACGGGAGGCAGCAGUGGGGAAUAUUGGGCAAUGGGCGCAAGCCUGACCCAGCAACGCCGCGUGAAGGAAGAAGGCUCUCGGGUUGUAAACUUCUUUUAUCAGGGACGAAGCAAGUGACGGUACCUGAUGAAUAAGCCACGGCUAACUACGUGCCAGCAGCCGCGGUAAUACGUAGGUGGCAUGCGUUAUCCGGAUUUAUUGGGUGUAAAGGGCGGGUAGGCGGGAGCGCAAGUCAGAUGUGACAACUCAGGGCUCAACCCUGAGCCUGCAUUUGAAACUGUGUUUCUUGAG